UAAUUACACCAUCAUAGUCUUAUCUACAAAAUAUAUAUAAAUAUAUAGAGAGAGAGAGAGAGUUGAGCUAGAAUACUAUCGAUAGCAAAUCGAUUUUUUUGCCACUCAUUUAUUUUCAAUGAUGGAGCCUCCAAAUUGAUGAUCGGCACCGUUGAAUAUGAUCUAUAUCAUUUGAAGUAUUUAGAAAUCAAAUUUCAUACAUUUUCGAUAUUGUUCUUUUAUCCAUCGAGUGGACACAAAAAUAAACGGCUGAAAAUGAAUAUUCUCAAAAAAAUGAUGAUAGGAGUCUUGUAAUCAAGAUCAAAAGUAUAGAUCUUGUUUUAAAUAGUUUAAAGAAUUUUCUAACAAAAAUUCAAUUGAUUUGGAUAUCUUUACACCGUUAAACGAGAAAACGCCUCAUAUCGACCAUUAAAAUUACAAAAUUUGAAACCCUUUAAUCAUUAAGCAAAUGAUAUCGAAAAGAUUUGAAAUUUGAUUUCUAAACACUUCAAGUGAUAUAGAUUAUGUUCAACGGUGCCGAUCGUCAAUUUGGAUGCUCCAUCAUUGAAAACAAAUGGGUGGCAAAAGAGCUCGUUUGCUAUCGAUAGUAUUCUAGCUUAACUUUAUAUAUAUAUAUAUAUAUAGUCUCUUGUUCUUUCGGAAACAACUUAAAAAUGCGGAGACCUUCGUACUUUCGAAAGUACAGUAGAUCAAUAUAUAUCUUUCAAUC
rnacentral:lncRNA from 1 species